GGAAUCUUCCACAAUGGGCGAAAGCCUGAUGGAGCGACGCCGCGUGAGGGAUGAAGGCUUUAGGGUCGUAAACCUCUUUUCUCAGGGAAGAGCAAGGACGGUACCUGAGGAAUAAGUGACGGCUAACUACGUGCCAGCAGCCGCGGUAAUACGGAGGGGGCUAGCGUUGUUCGGAAUUACUGGGCGUAAAGCGCGCGUAGGCGGUCCGCGUAGUCAGGCGUGAAAGCCCCGGGCUCAACCUGGGAACUGCGUUUGAUACUGGCGGGCUAGAGCCCGGGAGAGGGUAGUGGAAUUCCCAGUGUAGAGGUGAAAUUCGUAGAUAUUGGGAAGAACACCAGUGGCGAAGGCGGCUACCUGGACCGGUACUGACGCUGAGGUGCGAAAGCGUGGGGAGCAAACAGG
rnacentral:rRNA from 1 species